UAGCGGAACUCCUACGGGAGGCAGCAGUGGGGAAUCUUGCGCAAUGCGCGAAAGCGUGACGCAGCAACGCCGCGUGGGGGAAGAAGGCCUUCGGGUUGUAAACCCCUUUCAGUUGGGACGAAGCUUCCAGGGUUAAUAGCUUUGUGGAGUGACGGUACCUUCAGAAGAAGCCCCGGCUAACUACGUGCCAGCAGCCGCGGUAAUACGUAGGGGGCAAGCGUUGUCCGGAAUCAUUGGGCGUAAAGCGCGUGUAGGCGGUUCGGUAAGUCCGCUGUGAAAGUCGGGGGCUCAACCCUCGGAUGCCGGUGGAUACUGUCGGGCUUGAGUACGGAAGAGGCGAGUGGAAUUCCUGGUGUAGCGGUGAAAUGCGCAGAUAUCAGGAGGAACACCAAUUGCGAAGGCAGCUCGCUGGGACGUUACUGACGCUGAGACGCGAAAGCGUGGGGAGCAAACAGGAUUAGAAACCCUAGUAGUCCACUUAUG
rnacentral:rRNA from 1 species